GUCCUUUAUGAGGUGCAACCAAAACAGCUGUUAUAAAAUAGCAACCGGGAUAUUCUGGCAGGCUGUCGAGAAUUAGUUCUUGAAUACUGUUGUGGUUUUGAUCACUAAAAUGGCAGUGACUUUUGGACUCUCUUUGAGUGUUUCUUGGAUUUGUUGCCUGCUAAUUGGAGGGAUAACUUGUUUUACACUUAAAGGUAACGCUCAUGGGCAUCUUGCCUACACUGGACCUGAACCAACUGGAUCCUAUGCCCAAGCAAGUGUGGUGUCUGGUCCAAAUGCUAACGCUACUCGCCACAAUGCCACGUCAGCAGAAGGUACUGGCCACAAUGCCACGUCAGCAGAAGGUACUGGCCACAAUGCAACGUCAGCAGAAGGUACUGGCCACAAUGCCACGUCAGCAGAAGGUACUGGCCACAAUGCCACGUCAGCAGAAGGUACUGGCCACAAUGCCACGUCAGCAGAAGGUACUGGCCACAAUGCCACGUCAGCAGAA